UGGUAUUUUGUAUGCCGACGACGAUGAUUUGAACAGAGGCCUCGUGCGCAAACGCAAGUGUGCGGCGCAACGAAAAAGGCCCGCCAAUGACGGGCCUUUCCAAAUCCGGCACAAGGUCGCUGGAUUAGUGCUUGAGAUCGUCCGGCAGCUUGCCGCCGUUCGCAGCAAGCUUGGUCAUGACCUGCUUGUGCAGCCAGAUGUUCAUCUUGGCCGAGUCGUUGGUGUCGCCAUCAUACUUCAGUUCCUU
rnacentral:misc_RNA from 1 species